GUCCCAUCCUCACCCUGCUCAUUUGAUUCUGGGACUGCAGGCUCCACAGGACAAAGACUUAUUUCUUUACAGAGUUACAGCUUGGAAACCAAAUGCCAGAGCUAUGCCAUCUGAAAGUGGCAAAAAUGAUGCGGCAGCCGGACCUCAUGGAGAGGAUGGAGGAUAGAGUCCUGGCAGGGGAACAGAUCUUCCUUGGACCCAAGGUUUGGAUACGGGGGAAGCCUCUCAUCACCAUCAUUGACAACCCUCUUUCUGGGCAACCAGAGAGAUGCACGAAACACCAGAGUGCUACUCUGUCCCCACAAGAAUACAAAUUUGAUAUAAAGACUAUAAAAGUUGGCUCAUUUGUGGAGACAGCCCCCCUCAACCAAACCCUUGUGAGUGACAGGCAACCAGUGAAAAUCACUGCCAUAUGGGCGACCAUAUCAGAUAAUCCACUGGUCCUGUUUGAGGGCACCAUCUUCCUGCCUCAACACAGAGAAGAUCCCCUGACAGGCUGCAAAGAAUACCAAGAAGGAGGAAAACUACUCUUCCCAACGGCAGUCAUCACUGACACCCUCAUGUUCCUCCACCACAAAUGCUUCUGGGAACCAAAUCGACAGCUAGGAAUCGGAACAAAGUCCACUGCCACCAAUGAACAGUACUGUCAAAUAGUUGACAAAAAAAAUCAUCCACAAUUCCAGGAACAAAUAAUACCUGAUGAACACAUUCCUCCACUCUCAUAUAGAGUAAACACUCAAUCAGUUCUUUGUGCUGCUAAAGCCUUGGACUGGUACCAGUCCAAAAUACAGAUGUUGUUGUUGUGUCUGAAUGAAGCAGUCUUUAAUGUGUACAAUGUGAUUUUGAGAUGUAUGCCUUAUAUGAUAGGGCCUGGAAAGAUAGGGGGUGGAAGGGUACCAAUAUAAAUAUAAUCAGUUUGUAAACAAUCAUUCUGUAAAUACUAUGUUUUACUAUUAAAUGCUGAGUAUGUCAUACAAUUUUUCAUUUUUUUUGACAUUAGUAUUGAAAGUUUAACUGAAAAAAAGAUAAAAUGUUAAAGUCAACUGAUGGAAAAGGAAUAGUGAAAAGGGAUACCUUAAAGGGAUAGUUUUUUGAAGUGGGGUUGUAUGAGCUCCAUAUGGCCACAAAAUACAUCAGAUGCAGUAGAAAGUUUAGUUUUUUUCCUCUGCAUCUAAUGGACUUAGUGGCUGUAUGGAGCUCAUACAGCCGUACCUCAAAAAAC